UCCCCCGUGAGGGGGCAGUCUCGCCUGAAAAAUUAACAGACAACGGGGGUUGCGUUCGUUACCCCACUGAAGGGAACAGCUCAAGCCACGAACUGACGACAACCAUGCAUCACCUGCCAAGCACCCUCGAAGGCUCCCUCCCUUUCGGGUGGGAUGCAGCUUGGUUUCUAGCCCUGGUAAGGUUUUUCGCGGAUCGACGAAUUAAGCCACGCGUUCCACCGCUUGUGCGAGUCCCCGUCUAUUCCUUUGAGUUUUAAUCUUGCGAUCGUACUACCCAGGCGGCUCGCUUACCGCGUUAGCUUAGUCCCACAGAGGGUCGAUUCUCCGUAGAACGAGCGAGCAGCGUUUAGGGCCAGGACUAC
rnacentral:misc_RNA from 1 species